AUGGGAGCAGUUUGUGACACUUCCCAAACCUCAGGCAAGGCUCCACCCCAACGGGUCAGAAGAGGGUUCAUAUGCACCUCCUUAGGCACCCUGUUCCCCAGCCCCUCUGCCCACGGCCUGAGGGAAAGGCCCAGCAGCUCCCAGCGGCGUUUGGCUUGGGCACCGACUGACACGCAUCCUGCAGACCUUCUGCACACCCAGAUGAGCUCCGCGGAUGACGUGUUACUGGAUGAUGGAGGUGAACGUCCCCAGCUUGUCUGUGUUUCUCAGGCAGCCUCAGCAGAGCCUGGAGCAGGACGCCCCGCUCCCCGUCAGCGCUGCGAAGACACGAGCUGGGUCAGCUCAGCGCGGUCUCCGCUUGCUCAUCGCCAUCCUUUUAGAUCACUGUUUAUUUCCCAAGAAGCACUGCAGUCAGACUUCCCAGAUGUGUUUGUUAGCCAGGAAUUUCUAGAGACUAAGGAGGAACUGAAGUCACUUUGUCCUGUCUGUAACCAGUUCCUGCUGGAGAAAAAGAAGAAUGGAAAAAAAGAAACCCAGAUCAUCCCUUUGUCAGACACAGACUGAAGCUGUGAAGAUGUUCAGUUCUCCAGGCCUCCACAUUUUGUCGUGUUUUCCAGCCAUCGGAUAUUUUUCCCAGCUCUUCCCAAGCACUUGGGUGACACCAGAGUGGAGCGAGCACAGGGACCUUGUCACCCUUGCAAGAAAUGAUGUAAUUUCCAGGACUCUUCUUUGGCAUAUCUAGAACUGUGCCACCGAGGAAGCAGUCAGAUCAUUAUCCAAAUUUCCAGAUGGGGAAACUGAGGUGCUGGAGGAUGAAAUAACUUGUCCGAUGUUGGCAGAGGAGAGCUAAAAGGGGGAGUGCAGCCGUCUCUGGCCACAGCUACAUGGUCCAGGCAGCCUGCAGCAUCCUCAAUGGCAGAUGGACCAUCAAGGAGUCAGGCUGUACCGGUGAGGUCUGUGCACUGAGCUGCUUCUGCAGAGAUGCUCCUAGAGCCUGCUGGGGCAGGACUGCUUGAACAAUGCUGGCUGUGGAGAUUCCUUGAGGAGUGGCAGAGCAUGUCUGCCUGCAGAUCUGCUGUGCACGAGCCCCUUUCUCAUUCUUCGGAAGUCCUGAGGAACCAAGCUGCUUCAUGGAAGUGGCCAGAAUUCUGAGAAGAGGAUUUUUUCUCUCUCCUAUGUGUAAAUGAGACCCACCCAGGUACCUUAGCACAGAGGUAUCAUAGAAAAAGCAUGUGUAGAAUGUCGGGUGGGUUUAUUUGAGUUGCAAGGGUGUGUGUGCUCUGCGCAUCACACCGAAUGUUCAUCACAAGCUUUUCAGCACUAUGUAGGGCUCGUGUCAUGGAGCAGAUCAGACUAGAUAGUCCUCACGCUAGGUAAGGGUCUUAAAAUUGUACAUUUAUUCCCCAGGUUGCAAGCAUUUUAGGGAAGAAAGGAGAUCUGAAAUAGAGGUUGUCUUCUGAGCUGAAGUUCUGUUAUCUCCAUCACUGGGUCCACCCGAUUUAUUUACAUUCUUUGCAUUAGAAUUUCUUGCUUUCACCUACCUACUCUCAGUACACUACAACUGUUUCACAAUCAAAAUAUAACAGCAUGAAAACAGCUGGAACUCUUUCCAUCUCUCCAUUCCCAUUUGUGUAGGGAAGGCAUCGACUGAAGGAGACCAUUACCUCCAGAUGUCAGGACAUCUGGGAGAGGGGUCAGGCUUGGAGCUGGUUUGUCCUCUGUGGGAUGUAAGCAGAAGCAGUACCUGGGCAGGCAAGUAUUUGAAUUUUAGUGGUAGGACAGUGCUAAAAAAUACCGUAAAAACAUUUCCUUGCUUUUUUUUCAUUGGGGGAGUCUCUAUUUGUCUCAUCAGCUGCCUCUGGCUUUUUGCCCAGCGUUCUCGGAUCUCCUGGUAAAGGGAGACAGCAGAGCAUGUUUGUCCUAUUUCUCUUCCCUUGUGUGAGAUGCCAGACUGAAGCAGAUAAAGGCACUGCUCCUGGUCUAAGCACACACCACAGGGGAGGCUCCAGUCUGCUCAGCCCCCUCCUACAUCUGCCCUGACACAUCCAGUGGCCCAGGACAGGGCUGAGUUACCUCCGUUUGCUGGCAGCCCUCAGGAGCACAGCUCAGUGCUGUCGGCAUCCCUGCAAACCUUUGUGAACGCUCCUGAAAUAGGGGUGAUGGUCUCUCUAGGACAGGCACACACAGUUCCAGGUGUGCAGGAUCACACUGGGUGGACUUCAGUUCCUGGGAACUUUUUGCAGUUGAAGAGAUUUGCAUUGAGGGUUCCUGGUGAAAAUUUGACUUCCCAUCUCAAUGUGCACCAUCCGUGCCCGUUUUCUCUGUAGGAAUGGCUGUAUUUCUGUUGCACUGGAUGCAUGGUAUAUAAAGCAUUUGGGACGAAAAAGUCUGUAGAAGCGUGAUACUAAUAAUAUUUUACAGUUUUAAUUACCAUGAUUGUAGUGCCUUGAGGCGUAUGCAAAAACAUUUUGAGUGGGAGGAGAGAAGGCAGUGCUGUGAACAUUUUUGUGGUUUUGCUGGGCAAUGUGUAAUUGAGUUUUCUCAUGGGAACCACGGCGUGCCAGGGAGCAAAGCUGCCCCUGCCUCCUCCCCUGCUCCGCCAGGAUCCCGGACCCAACCCCAAAGUCAAGGAGAUAUAACCACAGUUACUCCAGUUUCAGGCAGAAGCUGGGCUGAUGGUGCCUCCGCUUUGCAGAGGGGCUUCCAGUGCAGGUGCUGCCUGUUUCUGCAGGCAACAGGUUGUUUUUCCUCAGGCAACAUCCCUUCUGUAAAAUCAGUGGCAGUUUCGCCUGCGGGAUGAUUUUAGGAUUGGGCAAUGGCUGAUUUGUGGCAGGGAUUUGCUGGCAGCCUUGAGGGCAGCGUUGCCUGUUUCUCGGUCAGGGCACGCAAUGUAGCCGCCCACCCGUCCGAGCCGUGCCUGCGUGGGCAGGGGAGGCGAGGGGACAGACAGAGGGACCUUGUGUAGCUGGGCGAGCCCUCCGGCACCCGCCUCGGCACCUUCCAGCACCCUUCCUGCGGGAGCCUGCAGGGCAGCAGCAACAGGCCUAAUGCAAAGUGGUCACCACUAACUUAAAGGUAGGAAAAUAGCCCAUGCAGGAAGGGAAAGUUCUUAGAUCUAGGUGUAAGAAAUAAAAAUUAUGUGGAAUAAUGAUGCUUGCGUUUUCCUAGCUACAGUAUAUAGUCCUGCAUCUUUAGAAAACAUUUUUUAAGCUUUGUCCCUAGACCAUAUCUUCAUUUUCAGACAUAUUUAUGUAGUUUCUGACAGUGAUUUGCCAUAGGUUCAUAAUUAGGAUGCUACGAAGGCAGUAGCCCUUUAUUUGAAAAACUGUGGAUGCCCCAUCCCUGGGAACACUCAAGGGCAGGCUGGACGGGCUCUGAGUAACCUGGUCUAGUGGAAGGUGUCCCUGCUCAUUGCAGAGAGUUGGAAGCAGAUGAUCUUUAAGGUCCCUUCCAACCCAAACCAUUCCAUGAUUCUAUGAAAUUCAGUUUUAUCUGGUUACCAGAGGCAGUCCGUGACUCAACAGUUACAACGAUGCCUUUGACAGCCAUGGGGUUGACUGGAGGGCAACAGAACCUAAAAGGAAACCCUGUGUGAUAGGUAUUCCCAGCUAAGAGAAGAGUUGGACGUUGCCUACAAGACAAGUGCAUUUUACUGAGACUGUUUUUCCUCACACUCUAUUUUCCCCUUCCCCCAUUCCAUACUUUUCUAUUGUUAUCUGCAUUAAAUAUGAUUUACGCUAUUGAAAACUCAGAUUUUAAUCAACUCUCCAUCAAUUAAAUACAUGGUAUUGUUUGUCCUCA